CGUACACUCCUGCGGGAGGCAGCAGUGGGGAAUAUUGGACAAUGGGCGCAAGCCUGAUCCAGCCAUGCCGCGUGAGUGAUGAAGGCCCUAGGGUUGUAAAGCUCUUUCACCGGUGAAGAUAAUGACGGUAACCGGAGAAGAAGCCCCGGCUAACUUCGUGCCAGCAGCCGCGGUAAUACGAAGGGGGCUAGCGUUGUUCGGAUUUACUGGGCGUAAAGCGCACGUAGGCGGACUAUUAAGUCAGGGGUGAAAUCCCGGGGCUCAACCCCGGAACUGCCUUUGAUACUGGUAGUCUUGAGUUCGAGAGAGGUGAGUGGAAUUCCGAGUGUAGAGGUGAAAUUCGUAGAUAUUCGGAGGAACACCAGUGGCGAAGGCGGCUCACUGGCUCGAUACUGACGCUGAGGUGCGAAAGCGUGGGGAGCAAACAGGAUUAGAAACCCGGGUAGUCCCAUGAU
rnacentral:rRNA from 1 species